CAUUUAUUGCAUCUAUUUUAUUUACAUUUCAAGCAGAUAGUUGAAGAAGCUGGUGGGGUAGUUUCUUGCAUGGAUGGUGGAAAAUAUAGUGUAUUUGAUAGAUCAGUCUUGGUAUCCAAUGGUGUGCUGCAUGACAAGCUUCUGGAGAGAAUUGGCCCUCCAACAGCUAAACUGAAGAACAAAGGCAUUGAUUUUUCAUUGUGGUUUAAGCCAGAAAACUAUCACACAGAUUGUUGACAGUGCCUUCUUUUUAUAUCUCUGCAUUUAUUUUGUUGUACCCAACUCUUCUUGUUUUUUGAGCAAAAGAAGAAAAAACUGAGGAAAAUGUGGCUUCUUUGAUUUCUUGUGUUGAUAAACGAUCAUUAUUUUGUCAAGCUAUCCAUUACAUAUAGCCAGAUAUUAUUUUGUGGACAAAUUCUAUGAUGUGCAACCAAACAUGUGACUGUUGUUUUUCCAUGUCAAAA